UGCGCAGGCGGUUAUAUAAGUCAGAUGUGAAAUCCCCGGGCUCAACCUGGGAACUGCAUUUGAGACUGUAUGGCUAGAGUGUGUCAGAGGGGGGGUAGAAUUCCACGUGUAGCAGUGAAAUGCGUAGAUAUGUGGAGGAAUACCGAUGGCGAAGGCAGCCCCCUGGGAUAACACUGACGCUCAUGCACGAAAGCGUGGGGAGCAAACAGGAUUAGAUACCCUGGUAGUCCACGCCCUAAACGAUGUCUACUAGUUGUCGGGACUUAAUUGUCUUGGUAACGCAGCUAACGCGUGAAGUAGACCGCCUGGGGAGUACGGUCGCAAGAUUAAA
rnacentral:rRNA from 1 species